rnacentral:tRNA from 1 species
AGGUAGGGUGGCCGAGAGUUAGGUGGCAGGCUGUANUCCUGCUAACAUGGGUUUAAAUCCUGUUUCUACC